UACGGGGGGGCAAGCGUUGUUCGGAAUUACUGGGCGUAAAGGGCGCGUAGGCGGCCUUUCUAAGUCAGACGUGAAAUCCCCGGCUUAACCUGGGAACUGCGUCUGAUACUGGAAGGCUUGAGUGCGGGAGAGGGAGUGUGGAAUUCCAGGUGUAGCGGUGAAAUGCGUAGAUAUCUGGAGGAACACCGGUGGCGAAGGCGACAUCCUGGGACCAACACCUGGACGCUGAGGAGCGAAA
rnacentral:rRNA from 1 species